CCUACGGGAGGCAGCAGUAGGGAAUCUUCCACAAUGGGCGAAAGCCUGAUGGAGCAACGCCGCGUGAGUGAUGAAGGCCUUCGGGUUGUAAAACUCUGUCAUUCGGGACGAACCGGAGUCUGAGGAAAUGCAGACUCUCUGACGGUACCGGAGGAGGAAGCCCCGGCUAACUACGUGCCAGCAGCCGCGGUAAUACGUAGGGGGCAAGCGUUGUCCGGAUUCACUGGGCGUAAAGCGCGCGCAGGCGGUGAUGUAAGUCUGAGGUGAAAACCCGAAGCUCAACUUCGGGACUGCCUUGGAUACUGCGUCACUUGAGGAUAGGAGAGGCAAGGGGAAUUCCACGUGUAGCGGUGAAAUGCGUAGAGAUGUGGAGGAACACCUGUGGCGAAGGCGCCUUGCUGGCCUAUUUCUGACGCUGAGGCGCGAAAGCGUGGGGAGCAAACAGGAUUAGAUACCCUGGUAGUCCACGCUGUAAACGAUGAGUGCUAGGUGUAGGUGGGCUCAUACCCAUCUGUGCCGAAGCUAACGCAUUAAGCACUCCGCCUGGGGAGUCGGUGCAAGCUGAAACUCAAAGAUAGUAGACGNGNGAGNGCGACGGACGACACGAGGAGGGAGAGG
rnacentral:rRNA from 1 species